rnacentral:rRNA from 1 species
GACGAACGCUGGCGGCGUGCUUAACACAUGCAAGUCGAACGGUGAAGCGCCUUCCUUUUUGGUGGGUGUGGAUGAGUGGCGAACGGGUGAGUAACACGUGAGUAACCUGCCCCCUUCUUCUGGAUAACCGCAUGAAAGUGUGGCUAAUACGGGAUAUUCUGGGUCUGUCGCAUGAUGGGUCUGGGAAAGAUAUUGUUUCGGUGGGGGAUGGGCUCGCGGCCUAUCAGCUUGUUGGUGGGGUGAUGGCCUACCAAGGCGGUGACGGGUAGCCGUCCUGAGAGGGUGGACGGUCACACUGGGAAUGAGACACGGCGCAGACUCCUACGGGAGGCAGCAGUGGGGAAUAUUGCACGAGGGGCGCAAGGCUGAUGCAGCGACGCCGCGUGGGGGAUGGAGGCCGUCGGGUUGUGAACCUCUUUCGCCAGUGAAGCAGGCCUGCCUCGUUUGUGGGUGGGUUGACGGUAGCUGGAUAAGAAGCGCCGGCUAACUACGUG